GCCAAAGUGGUGUAGUGGUUCAAGUGUCUGACUGUGGCUCUGGAAAGCAGGGUUCGAUUUCCAGCUUGGCCA